CCUACGGGGCGCAGCAGUGAGGAAUAUUGGUCAAUGGGAGAGAUCCUGAACCAGCCAAGCCGCGUGAGGGAAGACGGCCCUAUGGGUUGUAAACCUCUUUUGUCGGAGAACAAAACCCGGGACGUGUCCCGGACUGCGUGUAUCCGAAGAAAAAGCAUCGGCUAACUCCGUGCCAGCAGCCGCGGUAAUACGGAGGAUGCGAGCGUUAUCCGGAUUUAUUGGGUUUAAAGGGUGCGUAGGCGGGCUUUUAAGUCAGCGGUAAAAAUUCGGGGCUCAACCCCGUCCGGCCGUUGAAACUGGGGGCC
rnacentral:rRNA from 1 species